AAAUAGAUAGUGAUGGGGAAUAGUACAUAAAGAGAGGAUUUAAAGCGAGUCGUUGAAUGGUGAAAGCACGAUAAUGGAUUUUUAUGGAAUGCAGCCCUUGAAUCUCUUAUCGAGAAAGAGGAAUUAUAUUAUAAUUCUUACAAUAGAGACAGACGUGUCCUCACGUUAUGAGGAAUGAAACUAUAAGUUUUCAAUAGAGAGAGUGCUUUUGCACUAACUAGGGUGGUACCGCGAAACUUCUUCGUCCCUUUU
rnacentral:ncRNA from 1 species